AACGCACAUUGCGCCCAUCAGUAUUCUGUUGGGCAUGCCUGUUCGAGCGUCAUUUCCACCCUCAAGCCCUGGCUGCUUGGUGUUGGGGUUCUCUACAGCUUGCUGUAGGCCCUAAAAAUCAGUGGCGGUCUCACUGGAACUCCGAGCGUAGUAGAUUUCUCUCGCUCAGGGGCGACUAGUGGGUUUCUAGCCGUUAAACCCCCCAAGUCUUAAAAGGUUGACCUCGGAUCAGGUAGGAAUACCCGCUGAACUUAA
rnacentral:misc_RNA from 1 species